ACAUGCAAGUCGAACGGAAAGGCCCUGCUUUUGUGGGGUGCUCGAGUGGCGAACGGGUGAGUAACACGUGAGUAACCUGCCCUUGACUUUGGGAUAACUUCAGGAAACUGGGGCUAAUACCGGAUAGGAGCUCCUGCUGCAUGGUGGGGGUUGGAAAGUUUCGGCGGUUGGGGAUGGACUCGCGGCUUAUCAGCUUGUUGGUGGGGUAGUGGCUUACCAAGGCUUUGACGGGUAGCCGGCCUGAGAGGGUGACCGGCCACAUUGGGACUGAGAUACGGCCCAGACUCCUACGGGAGGCAGCAGUGGGGAAUAUUGCACAAUGGGCGGAAGCCUGAUGCAGCAACGCCGCGUGCGGGAUGACGGCCUUCGGGUUGUAAACCGCUUUCGCCUGUGACGAAGCGUGAGUGACGGUAAUGGGUAAAGAAGCACCGGCUAACUACGUG
rnacentral:rRNA from 1 species